rnacentral:rRNA from 2 species
UACGGAAGGGGCGAGCGUUGUUCGGAAUCAUUGGGCGUAAAGGGCGCGUAGGUGGUUCUGUAUGUCUACCGUGAAAGCGUACGGCUCAACCGUAUUUUGUCGGUAGAAACUGCAGGACUUGAGGCUGGGAGGGGCUGGUGGAAUUCCCUGUGUAGCGGUGAAAUGCGUAGAGAUGGGGGAGAACACUCGUGGCGAAGGCGGCCAGCUAGACCAGUUCUGACACUGAGGCGCGACAGCGUGGGGAGCAAACAGG